rnacentral:tRNA from 1 species
UGCCUGGUGGCUCAGACGGUAAAGCGUCUGCCUGCAAUGCAGGAGACCCGGGUUUGAUUCCUGGUUUGGGAA